GUGCACCAGGCGCGAAACUUUUGCAAUGCGCGUAAGCGUGACAAAGUCAUCCCGAGUGCCACCCGCUGAGGAUGGCUUUUGCCUGGUCUAACCAGCCGGGUGAAUAAGGGGAGGGCAAGUCUGGUGUCAGCCGCCGCGGUAAUACCAGCUCCCCGAGUGGUUGGGACGAUUAUUGGGUCUGAAGCGUCCGUAGCCGGCCGGAAAAGUUCCCCGUUAAAUCUGGCGAUCCAAUCGUUGGGCUGCGGGGAAUACUCUUCGGCUUGGGGGCGAGGGAGGUCGGCGGUAGUCCCGGGGUAGGGGCGAAAUCCUAUAAUCCCGGGAGGACCACCAGUGGCGAAGGCGGCCGACUAAAACGCGCCCGACGGUGAGGGACGAAAGCUGGGGGAGCGAACGGGAUUAGAUAUGAAGUUGAGUUUUUACCAGCUUCACUAGAUACCCGGGUAGUCC
rnacentral:rRNA from 1 species